UACGUAGGGGGCAAGCGUUGUCCGGAAUCAUUGGGCGUAAAGCGCGCGUAGGCGGCCCGGUAAGUCCGUUGUAAAAGUCAAAGGCUCAACCUUUGAAAGCCGAUGGAUACUGCCGGGCUAGAGUCCGGAAGAGGCGAGUGGAAUUCCUGGUGUAGCGGUGGAAUGCGUAGAUAUCUGGAGGAACACCGGUGGCGAAGGCGGCAUCCUGGACCAACACUGACGCUGAGUGAGCGAAAGCCAGGGGAGCAAACGGG
rnacentral:rRNA from 1 species